rnacentral:rRNA from 1 species
CCUACGGGAGGCAGCAGUGAGGAAUAUUGGUCAAUGGGCGGAAGCCUGAACCAGCCAAGUCGCGUGAGGGAUUAAGGCCCUGCGGGUCGUAAACCUCUUUUGCCGGGGAGCAGUGGUCCGGACGCGUCCGGACCGGGAGAGUACCCGGAGAAAAAGCAUCGGCUAACUCCGUGCCAGCAGCCGCGGUAAUACGGAGGAUGCGAGGUUUAUCCGGAUUUAUUUGGAUUAAAUGGUGCAUAGGCGGGCAUUUAAGCCGGCGGUCACAUGUCGGGGCAUAACCUCGGCCUACCGGCGAAACUGGGUGCCUUGAGUGGGCGAGAAGUAUGCGGAAUGCGUGGUGUAGGAGUGAAAUGCGUAGAUAUCA